UUUCCUCUUUCCUCUCUUCUUCUUUCUUCUCUUUCCCUUUCUUCUUCCUCCCUUUCCUCUUUCUUCUCUUUCUCUUCCUGCCUUUUCAUCCUUGUCCUCCUUUCUCAUGUACCCUGUUCUUAGACUGCUAUCUAAAGCACUCAGAAUACUGUUUUCCCCACUUUUUAAGCCCAUCCAUCUCAGUGUCUUCCCAGUCAAAGAGGCUUAAUCCCAAAUAGAAACUUCCCACCAUGAUCCGAGGCUGUUUUUUGCCCCCCCCCUUCCCGCCACCUGCCAAAAUGUGCAUGGAGGGGCUGGUCUCAUGGUAAAGAAGCCAGGGGCCAGGCUGGCAACAAAAACGGGCCAAGACAAUUCCGACUGCUGAUGACUGAAGGCAGAAACUGCUUUUCGUGCCAAUUGUGGAUUCGAAGAAUAUAGAACUUGCCACACUGGCUGACCUCGGCCAUGGUCUGGAUGGAGGCCACGUCGGAGCCGCAGCUUGGCUCCGUCAAGCAGAAGGCGGCCAGAGAUUUUCCUUUCCACAGGAAUCAGAGGAUCAGGAAUCCGCCGCAGGCUUUGCAUCCGUGCAUUCACUCGGGGAGCUUUUUGUGUGGGAAGCUCGGGAAGUGCUGGAAGAACCGGAGCCGUCCCUGCCCUCAGCGAGCCUCCUUCAAGUGGGGACGCGGGACGUGGGGACGCGGGACGUGGGCACGUGAAAAGUGGCGGAAAACACGAAGCUGUUUGGGCUGGGAGGCUGGGUUGGGCUCAGAGUGCAGAGCAAGGGCUGAGCCCCCUGCUUUGAUCCCCCCACCCCCGGAGAAGGGCUGGGAGGCUGAGUUGGGCUCAGAGCGCAGAGGAGCCCGGGGGAAGGGCUGCGGGGACGGGACAGAAGCUCCUCACCGGAGGCCAGGUUGGGCAGGUAUUUCUCUUUCUGAUGCUUGUCUCCAAACAGCAGGAUCCCCUUAAAGCCACUGGACUGAUGGGCCCCAAGGGUGACGCCCACGGCUAGGUCAUGCCAGCCCAGAAUCUCCACCAUGCGAGCAAACUGCCAGACAGGAAUAGGGCUCUCUGGGGGACGGCAGGGGGGGGCGGGGGAGACCCCUCGGCCUCCCAGGAGUCAAGACAGGGAGGGAAGGGAGGCGGCGCCUCUCCAACUGUGCCAAAAGGAGCUCUCACCGGUUGAAGGGGAAGGGAGAAGAAAGGGACCAAAGGGAAGCUCCCACUUGGCUUGGGGAGGGGGGGUCUCUUUUUCUCUUUCGGCCUCAGUUUCCUCAUCCAGAAAUGGGAACAUUGGACCAGAUGUCCCUGAGCUCCUGCAAGCUCAAAAUCUGGGACUCGAAGACAGCUGGACAGCCACCCUCCAAACCAGUGGACCCCGAAGCCUGGGCCCUAGCCCCGGAGGAGUUCUAAGCCUGGAGCCUCCACGCCCCCUUCCCCUCCCCCCCACCCCGCUUCAGAGCCCCCUGCUCUGGUCCCACCCCUCUCCCCCUCCCUCCACACCUGGGUGUUGGUCAGGCCGCUGCCUCCUAGCUUUUCUGGCACCUGUAACCCAAAGGUUUUCAGCUCCUUGAGCCCUUGGAACGUUUUUGACUGGAUUUUUUCAUUGUCGUCAUUCCACGUCGCAUCAUUAACUUCCUUCAAAGACAUAAUUCAAAGUAGCCGCUCCCUUGUGUUGGAUGCCCUGGUCAAGCAGAGCACCUUGGACAGCGCCUCUGGCUGGCUCAGAGCCUCCCAGCCCCCCUGGGACAGAGAGCUGGGAGUUUAGGCAGCACCUCUGGCUCGCUCAGACCCUCCCAGCCCCCCCAGGAGUGCGGGGCCGCGCCCAGGGUCGGCACCCACCUCAAAGAAGCGGCAGCAGGGCUCAUACAGCUCCUUCAGGAACGAGGUCUGUUCCUCACUGAGAACUAGGGGAGAAGAGAGACACCUUAAGGCCCCGUCGCGAGGGUCCUGCCCCGGGGGCUACUUGGCCGAGGGAGGCUGCUUCCUACCUGACGGGAAGGGGAACACGUUGUCCACGACCAUUUUCCCCUUGAAAAUGUUCGCCACAAAGGAGGUCGAUUC